rnacentral:rRNA from 1 species
GACGAACGCUGGCGGCGUGCUUAACACAUGCAAGUCGAGCGGAAAGGCUCCUUCGGGGGUACUCGAGCGGCGAACGGGUGAGUAACACGUGAGUAAUCUGCCCUGCGCUCUCGGAUAGCCACCGGAAACGGUGAGUAAUACCGGAUAUGACCGCUACACGCAUGAGUUGGUGGUGGACAGUUUUUCGGCGGAGGAUGUGCGCGCGGCCUAUCAGCUUGUUGGUGAGGUAAUGGCUCACCAAGGCUUUGACGGGUAGCCGGCCUGAGAGGGUCACCGGUCAAACUGGGACUGGGACGCGGCCCCGACUCCUACGGGAGGCAGCAGUGGGGAAUAUUGGACAAUGGGCGGAAGCCUGAUCCAGCAACGCCGCGUGAGGGAUGACGGCCUUCGGGUUGUAAACCUCUUUCAGUACCGACGAAGCGAAAGUGACGGUAGGUACAGAAGAAGGACCGGCCAACUACGUGCCAGCCGCCGCGGUAAUAC